GAUGAACGCUGGCGGCGUGCCUAAUACAUGCAAGUCGAGCGAAGCGGGGACGGGUGAGUAACACGUGGAUAACCUCCUAUAAGACUGGGCUAACUUAGGGGAACCGGAGCUAAACCGUAAACUUUUAGAUGGAUCCGAGCUGCAUUAGCUGGGUUGUAAGCUACCGGCUUACCAAGGCAACGCGGCAUAGCCGACCUGAGAGGGUGAGCGGCCACACGGGGACUGAGACAAGGCCCAGACUCCUAGGGGAGGCAGCAGUAGGGAAUCUUCCGCAAUGGGCGAAAGCCUGACGGAGCAACGCCGCGUGAGUGAUGAAGGUCUUCGGAUCGUAAAACUCUGUUAUUAGGGAAGCGGUACCUAAUCAGGAAGCCACGGCUAACUACGUGCCAGCAGCCGCGGUAAUUC
rnacentral:rRNA from 1 species